rnacentral:lncRNA from 1 species
CACUUCACAGACAUGAAAGGGUGCUGUUCCUACUCCACACAUUACAGUAAAGAGGCCCCUCCUACGUCCUGUCUCAUCCGUCUGUCUGCCUUCGUAAUUACUGGCCUGGGAGGGGCCAAGGUUUUAAAAAGGAUUUCCCUUCUUUGAGUAAAAGUCAGUGACUUUAGGUGGUAAGUUCCCAGCUCAUACUCUUGGCAGCUGGAGACAGGCUAUGAUCUCUCUCUCUCUCUCUCUUUCUUACCCCCACCUCCCGUCAACAAGCACCUCUCUUGCACUCUCUUUUAACUUUCUUUCUUUCUUUCUUUCUUUCUUUCUUUCUUUCUUUCUUUCUUUCUUUCUUUCUUUCUUUCUCUUUCAAGGUGGAAUUAUACAGCAAAAGACAUGUGGGUUAAGACUUCUCUCUGCAAGGAAUUUACUAAUUGCUAGAGACAUGCUGACACGAGGAGUGGUCUAGACAAGGGACCACGGAAGCCACCUCCUGGACCUGCCCACCUGUGGUGAGUUUUCUCCCUUUGCUUCUUUGACCUUCUGGAAUACAAUCCUUAGAACAGGGCUGGUCUCAGCCUCAAAGGGGCCUUUGGAUGCCUUCACCCCUAAAAAGUGCCCUACCAGUGGGUGCUCUCUCUCUCUCUCUCUCUCUCUCUCUCUCUCUUUCUCCUCCCUCCCUCCUUCCCUCCACCCCUAGUGGGCUAUUUCUUAAUUUUCCACACAUGGGUCAAGAGGACGUAACCUGGUGAUACCUUUGCUUCAAUUCAUAUCAGGCAGCUGCCCUUAGACCAGAAUUUGACAAAGUUGCUUCUUUGGAUUAUAAUUUGCAUUAAUUAGGAUGGGGCUUGGGGGGAUUCUGGGGCUUGCAGUCCGGGAACAUAACUUUUUCAGAUCUCUCAUUUUCAUACCUCCUUCAUGACCCAAGGUUGCAUUGGCUUGGAGCAGUGUAAAAAAAAUUUUAAAUGACAGCCAUCUGGUGCUAAGAAUGGGAAAGGGGGCGGUGUUCAAGGGAGCCUAGAGCCACUGUGGGCCCUGGCUUUGCCAAAGGGCCUUGUGGCAUAGCAGUGCCAGGCCUCCUAGGGGGAAAGCUCCCUUCAGUUCA